UGUUAACAUUUAAAGGACAAGUCCUGCAAUCCAUACUCGGUUCUUACCUGGGGAAAAACCCAUUGAAGUGAGCAGAGUAAAGGCUGCAGGAUCCAGCCUAGAUUUAAAAAAAACAUUUGGGUUUGCCAGCUUCAGCCUGAGAAUCACUGAGAAAUGACAAGUUGACUCUAAUCUAGCAUCCUGCCAUCCUAGUUCUGUGAUGUGAAACCAAUGUUCAUUUGCAAACAAGGAAGAGAACCAUUCGGCAUCCUGACAAAUCAAAAUAUAAUCACAUCUUCCUGAUUUCAAAGAACAUCCUGCUUCGCAAGUCUCAUUAAUGAUCCCAGACAGGUGUUUUUCAACAAAAGCUUUCUCAUUUGUUGCCCUUUCUGCUGCCUCCUGCUUGAGCUAAUAAGCCUCAGUGAUAUAUUUGGAAUAAUGGAGCAAUUUAUGUAACCCCAGGUUAGGAAAACGCACAAGUAAGGAAUCAUGACUAGAGAAGGGUAUUAAAGAGGGGCUGCAGGGGCAAAGCUCCUCUCUCUGUGAGCAGAGACAUCUCAUUAUCAGUGAUUAGGGAGGAAGUGUUCCAGCACUAUGGGGAGGGGGAAAGUAACUGUGUUUUAAAAAUGUUGUUUGAUAGCUUGUUAAUAUGCAGACACUGCUCUGUGAAAGGAUCAGACUGAGACCUCAUUACUGUGGCUUUUACAUCCUGUAGUGUUUGUAGUUAGAGAAAGGGAUUGCUACUACUUCUCUUGGGUAAUUCAUUUAGGGCCUGAUUCUUUGAAAAAAUGCAUGUGCACAUUUCAUGGUCACAGAAAUGUCUGUGUGUUUGCCAACAUUGGCUGCACAACCUGGAUACUUCUGCAUGAAAAGAGUUGUUUAGCUAGCAGGCUGUGUGCUUGCUCAAAUAUCUGGUUUAUGCAUGCCCUCAUGGCAACUCCUCUUACAUGUUUUUGAAAAACAGGCCCUCUGGGCCUCAGUUUCCCCCUCUAUAAAAUAGAAAUGGGAAUACCCUUUUCACAAGUGGGUGACAAAGGUUAGCUGGUGUGUAUAAAGUGCCAGGGUGUAAUCCUGAGACCAUUUUUGUACCCUGUUCAUAUGAGUAAAUCUGCAGAAGACAGUAGAAUGAAUCGUGUUUGCAAGAGCUACUUGCAUGAAUGAAGGUUGAGGGUCAGCCCCUAAAAUUCUAUUAGACUAAUUGAUGAGUAUGCUUUACUGCCUAUAAGUAAUUAUUAUUUUAUUUCCUCCGAUCGGGUAUGGUAUAUGCAGAAGGCUCCUUGGUUCCUACCACUCAGUGUUUUCUGCCAGUCAGUCUCAGACAGACGUGUAUCUUCUAAACACUAAAAUCCAGCAUAAUGCUCAUUCCUCUCCUGAUGUGCUUGACCGAGCCCCUAGAACAUUCCAUGUGUGUUGCAUCAUUAUGCAGAAGCUGAGAUCUGAUCUCUUCAGGAAUUCUUCCUUUACGAUCUACAGAUGUGCUACUGAGAGAUUCUCCCCUCCACAUACACGCUUUCCUGGGCUACAUGCAGUGUGAAGGUUUGGCUAAGGUGAAGCAGAUGGAUCAAGCUUACAUUCGCUAGGACAAGUGUUUUAGAUUCUCCACUUGAUUUGACCCUGCCUAUCAUCGUAAGGAACUAGCUCAGCCUCGUUGUCAGCAUCGUCGUCAUCUUCUGGAUCAGAAGGAGGAGCAGCGUGGUUAAAAAGAUAGCAGUCAG